ACUUCUCACUUGUGCUGCAAACCUUCCUUUUAUAUUUCUAUAAAACUGAACAAAUGACUGCUACUUAUGUUUUGCUCAUCAACUUGUAAGUGAAGGCCAUUUAAGACAGAAAUGUAGGAUUUAGCUCCAGCUGCUGCUCUAAUGUUGCAGAAAGCUUUUGCUGCAGUUCAUUAAAUUCAACUUCAGGCAGUCACAAAACUGCCAGCUAAUUAUUCUUUUCUUUCCUUGGCUGAGUGAAUCCUGGUGUCACCAAUUUCCCCUCACAAAAUGGAGCUACAGAAUUCUUCACUGUGAAGAUUGAAGAAACAAAGCAGUAAGGAAGACACCAACAUUAUUUUGUUAAAAACAGAUAUCUUAAGGAGCAGCACUGGAAGGAGUUAAGAAGCUGAGAAUUAAGUCACAUUUUGACAUGUAUAGGACUCAGAAAAGAUGCCUGUUUACAAAAGGAUGUAAACAUCACCAGGAUGUUCCCACAGGAAAUGCCCUCCACAGCCAAGGGAGGUUUUAGGUGGGAAUUGAAGGCCCAUGCUUCUCUGGUUUUUCUGUGGAUUCCAGCAGGAGAAAAGGUAGGUAGGAAUUACUUGUGAAAAUCCUGAAAUGCCUUGAAAAUCAGAAUUGUGUGCUCUCAAAAUUGUGUUUAAAUAUUUUAGGGGUUAGCUUGGAAAGGUUACUGGGGAGGUAAUAGCUACUGAAACAGGAAAAAACCCCUUGAUAUGGUUUGAAAAUUACACAGCAGAACUGGACAUGAAAAUAAUUGAGUUUUGGAGAGCACACAAAUUGAAUAUGAGCAAUUAUGAAAAAAGUGCAAAGUGAUGUCUUUUGUUCUUUUUCUUCUUGUGUAGGGACAGCAACAGAUCCAGCUUGACUUGAAGUGAAUAGACUUCUUUUAGUAAGAUUUUGAUUGACCCCUUAUUUUCUACAGAACAGUUGUUUUUUCUGAUAUAAAAGUGGCAAGGAAGAAAAGGUUAUUUUUUAAAAUUUCAUUUAUUGGGUAUUUAUCAGUCAACAAAAUAUGUUUUGUAAAUUUCCAGGUCAACUAGGAUAGUAACAACAGACUUGAUUGUUACCAUAGCAUCAGAAACUUUUUUUCUUUUUAAAUAGAAAGACAAGAAUGUGUUUGCUAAUGCCUUUCAGAAAAAAGAAGAGACUAUUUAAAAGGUGGUCAUAUUUUAGGGAUCUGGCUUUUAUUGUUACUCUAUCCCAGCAUAGGAUACUAUAUUUAUUAAAAAAAAGACGUUAAAUGAUUUUGUGUUUAUAUUUAUUGUCAGCAAUAUGUCAGUUAUGUAAAAAUAACCCAGAUGAAAAUGUAAGACUUGUUACAUUUUCCCAUCAUCUGUAUUAACUGAAUAAAGCUUAGUGACAAUAUACACAAAUUUGCAGUAGUAGUAGUAGUACAUAAACAUUUUGUGCAUUAAAAAAGAAAUCUACAUAAUUUAAAAAAUAAAAAUGCAUUACACAAUUUACAAAUUAACAUUAAACAAAAAAAAAGUAAACAUUCCUCAGACAGCUGCCUCCUCGUUCUACAAAAUAAAUAUUCAAGUAAAUUAAGUUAGGCAAAAUAAACUCUUAAUUCUUAACAAUUUACAUAAAGGUAAAAAGACAGAUUUCCAUUUAAUUCAAGGUAUAUUUUACAGUGAUUUACACAUAGACUUUUUAAAUUGCUCCCUUCAAAUUGUAAGAUUGGAAAAAAAACUUUAUUACAUUUUGGCAGGAGGAAGGGGGUUUCAAAAUUGAUGCUUUAUACCAAAUAUAAACAGGCUUGUGCAGUUGCAUCAAAGCUUCAAAAAGGAACUGGUCCAGGACUCAAAGCAGACACAGUAAGCUAGAAACUACAGUUUUAAAAAGAAAAAUAUAAACCACCACAUCAACAGGAAAAUACCUACUUUGCUAUCUUCUGAAUGGUUUAUUUGAUCACUGGAAACAUUACUUUCACAAACUAAUAAUCUACAGUAGUGGCUGCUUUAGGCACUGGAUUUGUAGAAGCACUGAUUUUUAAUGCAAAUUGCUUUUCUUCUAUACUGAUAAUUCACAUAUUAUUUACUUCAAUUUCAAUGCUAGAGGGCUUAAUCACCUUUGCAACAUUGAGAUUUACAUAAAAUUUCAGCCUUCCUUACAGCCUAGUAUUUUUUUCUUGAUAAUGAGGGAAGCCACUCUGGCUUCAAAUUUCCAUGCACUUUGUUCAUAGAAAAAAAAAAA